UGCUAGAUGUCCACCAGCGUAGACGGGUGAGUAACGCAUAGGAAUCUGCCCGAUAGUGGGGGAUAACCUGGGGAAACCCAGGCUAAUGCGGCAUACGUCCUACGGGAGAAAGGGGGCUCCGGCUCCCGCUAUUGGAUGAGCCUAUGUCGGAUUAGCUAGUUGGUGAGGUAAAGGCUCACCAAGGCUGCGAUCCGUAGCUGGUCUGAGAGGAUGAUCAGCCACAUCGGGACUGAGACACGGCCCGAGCUCCUACGGGAGGCAGCAGUGGGGAAUAUUGGACAAUGGGGGGAACCCUGAUCCAGCCAUGCCGCGUGUGUGAAGAAGGCCCUCGGGUUGUAGAGCACUUUCAGCGAGGAAGAACGCCUGGUGGUUAAUACCCACCAGGAAAGACAUCACUCGCAGAAGAAGCACCGGCUAACUCCGUGCCAGCAGCCGCGGUAAUACCGGAGGGUGCAAGCGUUGAUCGGAAUUACUGGGCGUAAAGCGCGCGUAGGUGGCUUGAUAAGCCGGCUGUGAAAGCCCCGGGCUCAACACUGGGAACGGAAUCCGGAACUGUCAGGCUAGAGUGCAGGAGAGGAAGGUAGAAUUCCCGGUGUAGCGGUGAAAUGCGUAGAGAU
rnacentral:rRNA from 1 species